UACGUAGGUGGCGAGCGUUGUCCGGAUUUACUGGGCGUAAAGCGCGCGCAGGCGGUCCGGUAAGUCUCCGGUGAAAUCGCCCGGCUCAACUGGGCGGUGCCGGGGAGACUGGCGGACUUGAGGAGCCUAGAGGCCGGUGGAACUCCCGGUGUAGUGGUGAAAUGCGUAGAGAUCGGGAAGAACACCAGGUGGCGAAGGCGGCCGGCU
rnacentral:rRNA from 1 species